AAGGGCACCACAAGAACGCGUGGAGCAUGUGGCUUAAUUUGACUCAACGCGGGAAAUCUUACCGGGUCCGGACACACUGAGGAUUGACAGAUAUACGCUACGUUGUUACUUUCGGGUGCACGUGGCUCAAAGAUGCUAGUUCUUUCAUGAUUAUGUGAUAGGUGGUGCAUGGCCGUUCUUAGUUCGUGGAGUGAUCUGUCUGCUUAAUUGCGUAUCAAUAAUAGAGACCUAGUAUACGCGUAUUACUCGUGUGGUAGUGACCCCCUUCUCACGGAGGCGCGUGUCGCACAUACGGUAUACGCACUGGUCUCAGAUAGCAACGAACGUGACCGUAUUCUAUUGUUGCAGUGAAUUAUACGUGUGCUUUACCGCACACAUUCCCACUGCUUAGUGUGCGCUGCCAGUACUUGUUGCUGCUGCGUCACACAUUAAACUAUAGAGACCGCUGUUUCUUCUUUAAACCAGAGGAAGGAUACGGCAAUAACAGGUCUGUGAUGCCCUCAGAUGUUCCGGGCUGCACACGUGCUACAAUGAUCAUUGCACUGUGCAUCUAACCCAAUGUGCGCGGACGCCACGAUACGUAUUUGCCUUCGGGCAUUUUAUGUAUUCGCUUGUGCGACUGCGCCGAACCUACUUCGAAAGUAAAAUUUUUAAGUGGGUAAUCCAUUAGAAGUAAUGACUCGCAUAGACCAUGGCACACUAUAUGUACGCGCAGGUCUACCCGGCUCGCCUUUGUGUGAGUGCAGUGCGUAGCUUGUUGUUUCGUACGUGNCNCUCCGUAUUAAUUCGUACGUGGGGAUAGAUCAUUGUUUAAUUGUUGGUCUCGGUCUUAACUAGGAAUGCCUUGUACGGGUCUUUGGUUCAACAUACCACCCGGAAUACGUNCCUGCCCUUUGUACACACCGCCCGUCGCUCUUACCGAUGGAUUAUACUAUGAAUCUAUAGGACUGCCAAAGCUUUGCGGCGUGUUCGCACACCGCGCUUAGUGGAAAUAUAUAUGAAUAGUGUGAUCUAAAGGAAAGAGAAGUCGUAACAAGGCAUCGGUAGGUGAACCUGCAGAAGGAUCA
rnacentral:rRNA from 1 species